CGCACAUUUAGGUGUUACACAUAUUGUUUUUUUUCAUUCAUUGUUCAUAGAAUUAGAAUAAUUAGGAUCUCGAUAGUUUUAGAUUAUUAUUUUUAACAACAGAUUACUAGGUGAUAUUUUAGCUAUUGAUCUGAUGACAAAAGUUGAUGGAAAGUAGAUUCAAUUUUGGAUUACUUCUGUGAUAGUUAUAUUUCACCUCAAUCUACUUUUUCAGCUUGUAUGUGGAUGGAACUUUCACAUAGUACUUUACGGCUUACGUACCACAGAUAACUUAAUCAUUCCAUUAUAUAUUCAAUUGAAUGUGUUAUCAUCCUCACCUAAAUAUUUACCAGUUAAUAGAAGCCUUAAAUAUAUUCUAUAAAACAGGAAACCUGUAUUAGGUAACGAAUAAGUAUAUGAAUACAGUCCAGGUCAAAUAUAACAAAUAUUGUUUGUAAAAAAAAUAUCAAUUUUUAAUCCAUUCAAAUAUUUAUUUUGACUCUUCGAUAUUUAAUGAAUUGUUAAUAUUUAUGUGCAUACAUUUUAACUUUAUAUUG